CUAUUUUGCUCUCCUUUCUCACUUUUUAUGAAAUGGUUGUUGAGUUAUGAUGCCUAACAUGCUUCUCUCCUUACCAGUACCCAGUACCUAAGAUGGCUUGGGGGGAAGUAGUCAGAAAAGAUAUAACAAACUCUAGAUCUUUUUGAAGUGGUAGCCCUAAAUUGGUUGGAGUGGAGGAAUCCAUGUAGACAACUCCAUCUAAUUUGUGAUUAAGGGUUAGUUUGGUUGAGUUGACUUGAAUUGUUUUCUACUUUCUUAUGCUGACUGCACUUGGGGGCAAAUUUAUUAUGGGGUAAAAGUUAACUGCUUAUUGUUAUAUAUUUUAUGCUUGCUUAUUUCUGAACAUUGAGGAUGU
rnacentral:misc_RNA from 1 species